AGGGAGUCAGGCAGAGGGAGUCAGGCACAGGGAGUCAGGCACAGGGAGUCAGGCAGAGGGAGUCAGGCACAGGGAGUCAGGCAGAGGGAGUCAGGCACAGAGAGGCAGGCACAGGAGUCAGGCAGAGGGAGUCAGGCACAGGGAGUCAGGCAGAGGGAGUCAGGCACAGAGAGUCAGGCAGAGGGAGUCAGGCACAGGGAGUCAGGCAGAGGGAGUCAGGCACAGGGAGUCAGGCAGAGGGAGUCAGGCACAGGGAGUCAGGCACAGGGAGUCAGGCACAGGGAGUCAGGCAGAGGGAGUCAGGCACAGGGAGUCAGGCAGAGGGAGUCAGGCAGAGGGAGUCAGGCACAGGGAGUCAGGCAGAGGGAGUCAGGCACAGGGAGUCAGGCACAGGGAGUCAGGCACAGGGAGUCAGGCACAGGGAGUCAGGCAGAGGGAGUCAGGCAGAGGGAGUCAGGCAGAGGGAGUCAGGCAGAGGGAGUCAGGCAGAGGGAGUCAGGCAGAGGGAGUCAGGCAGAGG
ensembl:lncRNA